ACACCUCAACUCUCAUGGUUUGCCAUGAUGAGCUUGGACUUUGGAGGUUUUGCUGGCAUUUGUGGUCAGCUCCUCUUAAAUGAAUCAGCUUGCUAGUGAUUGGUGGCAUUGUGGGUGUGAUAACUAUCUACGCCUGUGGGUGUCUACCAGGUAACCUUCAGUGAUGGAGGUUCACAGGGGGCUUAGAAACGUCUCUCUUCAGUGAGGACAGCAUUUGAAU
rnacentral:misc_RNA from 1 species